UACGUAGGGGGCUAGCGUUGUCCGGAAUCAUUGGGCGUAAAGAGCGUGUAGGCGGUCCGGUAAGUCCGCUGUGAAAGCGCCUGGCUUAACCGGGCGAGGUCGGCGGAAACUGCCUCACUUGAGGACGGUAGAGGGGGGUGGAAUUCCCGGUGUAGUGGUGAAAUGCGUAGAGAUCGGGAGGAACACCUGUGGCGAAGGCGGCCCCCUGGGCCGGCCCUGACACUGAGGCGCGAAAGCGUGGGGAGCGAUCCGG
rnacentral:rRNA from 1 species